CCUACGGGAGGUAGCAGUGGGGAAUAUUGGGCAAUGGGCGCAAGCCUGACCCAGCAACGCCGCGUGAAGGAAGAAGGCUUUCGGGUUGUAAACUUCUUUUAAGAGGGAAGAGCAGAAGACGGUACCCCUUGAAUAAGCCACGGCAAACUACGUGCCAGCAGCAGCGGGAAUACGUAGGUGGCAAGGGGUGUACGGAUUUACUGGGGGGAAGGGGCGGGCAGCCGGGAAGAAAAGUCAGAUGCGAAAUCCCGCGGCUAAACCGCUGAACGGAAUUUGAAACGGUGUUUCGUGAGUACCGGAGAGGUCAUCGGAAUGCCUUGUGUAGCGGUGAAAUGCGUAGAUAUAAGGCAGAACACCAGUGGCGAAGGCGGAUGACUGGACGGCAACUGACGGUGAGGCGCGAAAGCGUGGGGAGCAAACAGGAUUAGAUACCCUGGUAGUC
rnacentral:rRNA from 1 species